GACGAACGCUGGCGGCGUGCCUAAUACAUGCAAGUAGAACGCACAGUUUAUACCGUAGCUUGCUACACCAUAAACUGUGAGUUGCGAACGGGUGAGUAACGCGUAGGUAACCUGCCUGGUAGCGGGGGAUAACUAUUGGAAACGAUAGCUAAUACCGCAUAAUAUUGAUUAUUGCAUGAUAAUUGAUUGAAAGAUGCUAUUGCAUCACUACCAGAUGGACCUGCGUUGUAUUAGCUAGUAGGGGAGGUAACGGCUCACCUAGGCGACGAUACAUAGCCGACCUGGGAGGGUGAUCGGCCACACUGGGACUGAGACACGGCCCAGACUCCUACGGGAGGCAGCAGUAGGGAAUCUUCGGCAAUGGACGAAAGUCUGACCGAGCAACGCCGCGUGAGUGAAGAAGGUUUUCGGAUCGUAAAGCUCUGUUGUAAGAGAAGAACGGGUGUGAGAGUGGAAAGUUCACACUGUGACGGUAUCUUACCAGAAAGGGACGGCUAACUACGUG
rnacentral:rRNA from 1 species